AAAACCGGGAUUCCCCUUUGGCCAGCUCUCAUUCUUUCAUUUCUAAAGAUGGAGACCGGCGAUCGGUGCUAGGCUGUACGUUGAGCAGUGUUUCAUCGCGACAGAAUUCAGGAAUUUCACGAUAGAAGUAGCUUUAGGCGCUUGGGCCUUGCUGUCUCUUUGGGGCGUGGCCUGUCUCCGUCUGCCAAAGGCCUUGGGCUUGCUGGGGUUGGUCGGCCUCUGCUCGGUCCUGUCGUGACAGCCACGACAGCAGGGGGAAAAAAGGCAGGUGGCCAAGUUCAUGGAGGACCUACGGUGUGCAGAGCCAGCGAAGCACCCUUUCUCGGGAUCUCCUGGUUUCGUGAGGUUCUCAGUGAAGAAACAGCCUCCCACCCCACCUGAGUCCAGCCCAUCACCUCGAGGCCCACUCCUCCGCCAGCCCGGCCACUUCCCCGGCGCAGUUAGGCCCACACUCUUAGCGUGCUGGGGCACCUUAAGGAUAGGGACCGAGUGUCACAGGACGCUCUUUUAAGGACUGGAAAAGCAUCAAGGCAGGAUGGGGAAGGGUCCUCUGCAUGAAGGUCCCGGCAUUCAGAAGUAGUACUUCUCUUUUCACCCACUGAUCUCCAUCGCCCAGGGAUUUACACUAAACAUUAAUGGAAAAAAAGGAGAGCGUUGAGUGGGCCAAGGGAU